rnacentral:misc_RNA from 1 species
CACAAAGACAUAUGAACCAGUAAGCUUCUCCUGCACCCCACAAGCCCAUGGCCUUCCACUCACAAGCACAUCAUCAACAAAACCAUCAACAUCUGACUCCUUCAAACUCUUGUAUUUGAUCAUAUCAGGAAAUAUCAACACAUCUCCACUCUCAAACACAGUCCCUUCGCGUUCCUCGCAUAUCGUUACCUUCGUCUUAACGGUGAUAUCGUUCUUACGAGCUUUGACAGCAGAGGAGAAGAGCUUGGGGAGGAGAUCAGUCUCAGAUUCCUCAACGCGUGGAAGCCACGCGUCAGGGCCUUUGAAGCAAACGAAUACGUGACGGUCGUACUGAUCCACAGUCCCGGCGAGGUUGCUCUUGUACAUCUCGGGUCGAGUAAAUCCGAACUUCGCGCCCUCUUCGGCCGAGAUCACCGUCCAAACAUUCUCAGUCUCCGCCAUUGAAACAGUACGUACAAUUUGUCCAGGUGUAGUAGAUAGAGCUAGGGUUCGUGGUUUCUGUAAAUGAAGAGAGCAAAGCGAGAGAAAUCCGUUUGGAGGAGAGGACUAACCAGAAAAAUGGUGAGCGAUAUAUAAUAGAGAGCGGGGAGGAGCGCUU